UGGAUGAACAGAUGGAUGGAUCAGUUUGGUUGGAUGAACAGAUGGAUGGAUCAGUUUGGUUGGAUGAACAGAUGGAUGUUCUCGGAGGCUGGCACAGCGCAUCACAGACCGUCUGUCUGUCCAGACAGAACAGGAUCCAGGAAAAGUUCUGGAGAUUCAUCCAUGACUGAAGGUCCUGGCUGCACCGUCUCCAUGGAACCACUGGACCGGAUGAAGGACUGGAUACGACCGGUACCGCUCAGCUUAUUGUCAUCUGUUCUACCUAUUAAAAUCAUUCAUCACUGAUAGUAAGUUGGUGGUUUUGGGUCAGAACUUUUCCCGGGUUUCUGUGUAAACUGAAGAAUCGGUGAAGUAAUGGUUCUGGGCAGAACUCGGACCCGUCCAUGAGGCUUUAUGAGAGUUUCUCCCUCAGAUGUGACUGUCAGGCGCUGAAGAACCACCUGAACCACAGGAGCCAGUGACCCGGUUCUGGACCAAAACUGAGUGGACAAGGUCCAGAGAAGAACCUGGAGGAGUUUCAGGAAGUCUCCAUGGCAACGAGACAGGUCCAACCUGUUGACUGACGGCUCCGUGUCUCUGAUGUGAGGCACUCGGCGAACUCGGCGCUCCGGUCCAGAUUAAAGGAGAGGAGGCCUCCUUUAUUUUUAGACCUUCAUGUUUAAUGGAUGGACCCGCCUCCUCCUCGUCGCCAUGGAAACCUGCAGGAAGCAGAGAGGAGUCGUCACGCCAUCCAGCUGCUGAUGGAGACGAGUCAGACCUGGAGGGGAGGAUCCGAGUCGCCAAAGCACCUGAGGAAGGGAUGAGGUGAGUGGGACCUGGAGUCCGAGUCGGUUCUGAACUGAACCAUCCUAGUCAGACCUGAAUAGGAUGGAAAAAAAUGAAACGAGUCAGACAAGACAUGAACAGGAUAUCCAAGUCAAAUCUAACCAAAUUAUCCAAGUCUGACUUGGAUGGGAAGGCAGGAUGAAACGAGUCAGAACUGGACAGAAUCAUCCAAGUCAGACCAGUAGGAUGGAAAAAUGAUCCAAGGAUCUGCUGGAACCUUUUAUUUGAUUUAUAAUUUUUACAGAGUUUUAUGGUUCUGAGCUGAAGAGUUCCACAGAGUCCGGCAGGUCCGGUCUGGACCGGCAG